GUGAACACGCUAGUUUAAAGCAUACUCGGGGCCAAGGCCUCUUCGCUCUCUUCCUCCUUCGUCUUCGUCGUCGCCACGUCUCGCGCUCAAGUGCUCUCCACCGCGCUCGAUAGACUCUCUUCCUCCUUUGUCUUCACCAUGCGACAUCGGUGGGCGCGAGUGCGAGGAGCCAGAAUGCUGGCAGCGAGAAGAGGCAGGGUCACAGGCACAAUCUUAGCCAGUGCGCUUCGGAUCUUAGCGAGUCGUGUUCGACGCCGCGUGGUAACAGUGGCAGCAACACGCUACUCUACACGCACGUGAUCGCGUUCACGCUGUACGAGUUAGAGACCAUAACGAAGAGCUUCCGCGGCGACUACAUCCUCGGCAAGGGAGGGUUCGGGACCGUUUACAAAUGCUACAUUAAUGAGAACGUGAGAGUGGGACUCAAAUCGCUAUCUGUAGCGGUCAAAGUGUUGAACAAAGAGGGACUACAGGGACAUUGCGAGUGGCUCAUGGAGGUGAAUUUUCUAGAGUAGCUUAGGCAUCCUAAUCUGGUGAAGUUGAUUGGGUACUCCUGGCACUCUUCUUCAGAUCUUUCAGGUCAUUGGAAGUGAGGGUUGGGGUGGAUCUACUAGUAGCCAUGGACUUGAUGGUUCUCCAACUAACUGUUGGUCAAACUUUUAACCUCAGGGCCUAUUGUUUUUUAAAAAGAUUCCAAGCUUAGCUGAUAUGGCAGCCAAUCCUUUCCAUGCAUUAUUCUACCUUGUGUUUAUGUUGUCUGCCUGUGCCUUGUUCUCUAAAACUUGGAUUGAAGUCUCUGGUUCAUCUGCUAGAGAUGUUGCAAAGUAGUUGAAGGAACAACAAAUGGUAAUGCCUGGACAUCCGGAGUCGAAAGUUAUGAAUCAUGCAAUAUACAUAUUGAAUCAUUGAUGAUUCAAAAGUUAAAUUGGCGAUUCACCCUCCCCCCCCAUCUAUUUAUUUUUUUUUUGGUUGCAUUUGUUGCUGUUUAUUGAGUCACAGAUUUUCUUUGGGUUUGAAAAGCAUGGUUUUUUUUUAAUGAAGUUCUUGAAUAUAGAAUACAGGUAUGAUACUUUUGCACACCUCCAAUUUUCGGUAUUUUUUUCUUUAAUUGAAUUGUUAUCUCUUCUACAAAGCUUUAUCAUUAACAAAAAAAAUUUAAUAGAAAUUAUUGGUAAUCUAAUAUAUUUAUUUUCCUGACAUUCAUUAUUUUUCUAUUAGUGUUUAUUCUUUUAUUAUAUCUUUCUGUUUCUCUUUGUUAAUUAUUCCUUCAAUUACACCAAUGUGCGUUGUUAUUUUAUUUCAAUUUUUUGUAUUCAAACCUUGACAGCAAAAGCAGAGAGACAUGUGUAAAUUAUGUUAUCUACUAAUUUUUAAUUUUCAUUAUAGUUUGUAAUU